GACGUAGGGUGCAAGCGUUGUCCGGAAUUAUUGGGCGUAAAGAGUUCGUAGGCGGUCUGCUAAGUCUGAUGUUAAAAACCGGAGCUCAACUCCGACACGGCAUCGGAAACUGGUAGGCUAGAGUAUGGUAGAGGCAAGGGGAAUUCCCGGUGUAGCGGUGAAAUGCGUAGAUAUCGGGAGGAACAUCAGUGGCGAAAGCGCCUUGCUGGGCCAUUACUGACGCUGAGGAACGAAAGCUAGGGUAGCGAAAGGG
rnacentral:misc_RNA from 1 species